rnacentral:tRNA from 1 species
GGGUUCAAAUCCGUUCUCCGCAA